rnacentral:rRNA from 2 species
UACGGAGGGUGCAAGCGUUAUCCGGAUUCACUGGGUUUAAAGGGUGCGUAGGUGGGUCUGUAAGUCCGUGGUGAAAUCUCCGAGCUUAACUUGGAAACUGCCAUGGAUACUAUAGAUCUUGAAUACUGUGGAGGUCAGCGGAAUAUGUCAUGUAGCGGUGAAAUGCUUAGAUAUGACAUAGAACACCAAUUGCGAAGGCAGCUGGCUACACAAAUAUUGACACUGAGGCACGAAAGCGUGGGGAUCAAACAGG